ACCACCUCCACCUGAACCAACUGCAGUGCAACACCGCUCCAGUCGAUGCAGUACUGGCACCACUAAACUCAACAACUACAUGUCAUGAAGAAAAAGAGAGGAUCAUUAUCAGAAUGAGGAAAUCUGUUGGAAACUUGGAGUCGAUAAUUUAAUUCAUGAAAAUGGAAAGUACCACCCAAGGUGAAAGACAAGUGCAAUAAAUGCAACCAUGGGCAAAGAGACCCAGGAAGACCUAGGAAGAAAUGAAAGAUCAAUAGCAUCUUUCUUUUUGAAUGAAGUAUGACAUAUCAAAACCUUGGAAGGAAGAAGGAGAAGAUGUCGCAGUCUAUCCAGGUUUACUACUGCAUCUUCGGCCACUGGACGAGCCCUCUCUAGUGCAUCUCUCAU